GCCUGGGUGGCUCAGUUGGUUAAGCGUCUGACUUUGGCUCAGGUCAUGAUCUCACGGUUCGUGAGUUCAAGCCCUGCAUCAGGCU
rnacentral:tRNA from 1 species